GUGGGGAAUUUUGGACAAUGGGCGCAAGCCUGAUCCAGCAAUGCCGCGUGCAGGAAGAAGGCCUUCGGGUUGUAAACUGCUUUUGUACGGAACGAAACGGUCCUGGUUAAUACCUGGGGCUAAUGACGGUACCGUAAGAAUAAGCACCGGCUAACUACGUGCCAGCAGCCGCGGUAAUACGUAGGGUGCGAGCGUUAAUCGGAAUUACUGGGCGUAAAGCGUGCGCAGGCGGUGCUGUAAGACAGGCGUGAAAUCCCCGGGCGCAACCUGGGAAUUGUGCUUGUGACUGCAGUGCUGGAGUACGGCAGAGGGGGAUGGAAUUCCGCGUGUAGCAGUGAAAUGCGUAGAUAUGCGGAGGAACACCGAUGGCGAAGGCAGUCCCCUGGGCCUGUACUGACGCUCAUGCACGAAAGCGUGGGGAGCAAACAGGAUUAGAAACCCCGGUAGUCC
rnacentral:rRNA from 1 species